GACGAACGCUGGCGGCGUGCUUAACACAUGCAAGUCGAACGGAAAGGCCCUGCUCUUGCUGGUUUCUCGAUUGGCGAACGGGUGAGUAACACGCGAGUAUCCUCCCCUUGACAUUGUGAUAACUUCAGGGAACUGCGGCGCUUACCGCAUAUGAGCUCCUGCUCCGUGGGGGUGGUUGGUAAGAUUCGGCGGUUGUGGCUGGUCUCGCGGGUUAUCCGCUACUUGGUGGGGUAGGGGCUUACCAGGGCUUCGACGGAUAGCCGGCCUGGGAGGGUGGCCGGCCACAAGGGGACUGAGAGACGGCCCAGAAUGCUACGGGACGCAGCAGUGGAGAGUAUGGCACAGUGGGGCGAAGCCAGAGACAACGACGCCGGGUGCGGGAUGACGGGCUACGGGUUGUGAACCGAUUUCGCCUGUGACAAGCAGUGAGUGACGGUACUGGGUAAAGAAGCACCGGCUAACUACGUG
rnacentral:rRNA from 1 species